rnacentral:piRNA from 2 species
UCCAAGAUACAAGAGAACGCAUUGCCAC